GUGCUCACUUCGGCAGCACAUAUACUAAAAUUGGAAUGAUACAGAGAAGAUUAGCAUGGCCCCUGCACAAGGAUGACAUACAAAUUCGGGAAGACUUCCAUAUUUUU
rnacentral:snRNA from 1 species